GGAGUCCUGGUCCGGGAGCGCCGCCAGCGUCUGGAGGGCGGGGAUAAGAAGGCAAGGCUGAGGAUGGACACCAGAUUGGCCCAGGGAGGAGCACCUGCCACACAGAAAGUGGAGCAGUCAUGGGGGAACAGGUAGGAGAGAGGGCUCUGAGCGGUGGGGGGAGAAAGGGACAGUCUCUGACCGGUGGUGCUGGCCACAGAGUUCACUGCACGGAUGAACAGCGGUGCGUUGUUUUCGGAGUAUUCUACAAACACCAACAGCAGCUUCAGGGCUGUCUUCACCACCAAGCGGGACUGAGGAGAGAGGUCAGUACAUAUGAGUGGGGCUUAGGCCAGACCUGUGCCAGCUGUUGCUGGGGAAGGGGAAGGGCUGCUGGGGCUGGACCCAGAGAGAAUCUAGGCAGAAUGACCCUGGCCCCAGGCCCAGGCACUGAAGUGCCUUAUAGGCUUACAGAGGCCUCAGACUCACUCCCUUCCAGCUCACUUUGCAGAACAGGAAACUGAGGCCCAGAGAGAAGCAACAGGCAAAGGGUAUAAGGCUGAGUGGAGAGCCACUUACCAGGCUGGCACACAAUGUGUACAGCCACUGAAUAGUGUCACUGUGGGCCACCACCCCCAGCAUUCCAUCCACAAAGAGCAUCAGCUGGCCGAGCGCUGGGGAAACAGGGAUGGGCAGAGUCAGCGAGGGUCGCUGGAGCAGAGGUCAUGGGAGAGGGGCGGGGCUGACCUCUAAGGAUGUAGCUCUGGUAGUUGUGGUCGGCAGCAGCACCCACACGGAUCAGGCAGCUCAGCCCCUCUGAAUGCACAAAUUCAGGCACCAGGUCUUUGUCCUCCUAGAGGCACCAUGGGGGAGUUUAGGGAAGCUUGGGCUACACACUUACCCCCAGCCCACUGCGGGGCCUCACCUGGAAGAUCUGCUUCAGUGAGAAGAGGGAGCGGCGGAGCUCAGGACCACUGGAGCUAUACAGCUUUUCUGCAAAAGAAGCCCUCCAGCAUCUCCCGCUGCUCUUCCAGGGACAGCUCGGUGUCCAGGUAGU
rnacentral:lncRNA from 1 species